UACGUAGGUGGCAAGCGUUGUCCGGAUUUACUGGGCGUAAAGGGCGCGUAGGCGGCCACCGCAAGUCGGUUGUGAAAUCUCUGGGCUUAACCCAGAAAGGUCAACCGAUACUGCGGGGCUAGAGUGCAGAAGGGGCAACUGGAAUUCUCGGUGUAGCGGUGAAAUGCGUAGAUAUCGAGAGGAACACCUGCGGCGAAGGCGGGUUGCUGGGCUGACACUGACGCUGAAGCGCGAAAGCUAGGGGAGCGAACGGG
rnacentral:rRNA from 1 species